GUUUCUUCUUUUUGGAAGAGCUGCUGAGGUGCCUUUCAAGCUUAAUUUUCCUGUAACCCUACCUAAAUUCCUGUAGCUGUUAGGAAUCACAUGGAGGUUGUAUCACAGUCCAUGUAGAUUGGGGGAAAAAAAAAAUCAUUUCUGGUAAAUGUUAGUGUGUCAAACUAAACUUAUCCAAAGGAAUCUACAUGGUUUGAAAAAAGUGUACAUUACACUGCACAGGCAUUCUGUGAACAUGGGCUGUCAAAAUCUGAAAGCUGAGGCUGUACAUUGCUGAUCUCAGGUCCCUUUUCCAAAUUUGAAAUUUUCCCAAACGUUGCUUUGUUUCAGAAGGCUAAUCUGUGGACUUAGAGAUAGCACGAAACCACAGCUAGGGUGGAUACAAAACGUAGGUAAUUAAUGUGGUUGGGAGAAUGAGAUUUAGCUUUCUAGAUGUGGGAAAUGUUCCCGUGGUGUUUUCCUUCCUGGUCUACCCAUACUUUUAAUCUCUUAUCAAACAGAUAAGCAGGCAGAGACAGUAUCAACACAGAAAUAUUACACAGUUUUUGAGAAAAGUUUCCUGCUGGAAUUUUAGAAACCAAGUAGGGAGAGAGAAAAAUACCAGAGAUUGGGUAGAAGUAUGACUUGAUAGAAAGAUAUAGUGGUCCAACCUCCAUGAUAACAUAGAAUUAUAACCCUAAUGUUUUAUAGAAUGGCUAAAUCAACCUCCAAAACUAUAUCAUUCUCUAUUCAACUUCACAGUAGAUUUUUGAGUAGUUUCUGUGAAAGUGCACUGUUGUCAUUAUAUUUCUAGUGUAUUUCCAUGAGAAAUACUACAGCAGCUGACUGUGUUUUUUUGCUAUGAGAUAUAUAUAUAUAUAUAUAUAUGAAGUAUAUAUCUUAAUGAUAUUUUAAUGUAUUUGGAUAAAAAAGAGCACAGAAUUGCAGAAUGUAGUCAUGGUACGUAAAAGUAGCCCCUGUUAUUUCCUGGGCUGAAUUUUAGCUUGACUUCCAUUUUGUUUUAUGUAUUUUUAACAUUCUGAAGUGCUCGUUCUUAGUUUUGGCACAGGUGCUUACAGAUUUAAUUUGUGAAAAAUAGUACUCAAGUCUCUUAUAUUGUUUGACCUUGAUGAGAAGUUUUGUAUCCUUCCAAGAUCAGUCAGUGGUCUGUUACUUCAGACCAUGCUAUCACUACAUAAGAGCACAUUUGUUAUUCUGUAGCUCACUGUUAGUUCUUGAGGAAAAAAUACAUUUUUGCACGUGGUAGUUUUCAUGUCGCAUUUCUUUACAGCUAUGACAAACAUGAGUUGCAGUACCAGCGGCAAGAAACCUAGUUCUGUGCAUUUCCUCCAUCCACGUGCCAGCUUUCCUUUAUGUUCCCAAGAUUGAAGUGUUCAAUAGGCUAAAUAUAAUGGAAUUAUGUCAUGGAAUGUAGGGCACAGAGCCCUGCAGACAGCCGCACACGGUCUACCAGUCCACUGCUAGGUGCUGUUUCACUUUUUUACUUUAAAUCUGCUAGUAACUGGCCUCUACUGCUGCAAUUCUGAGUCAGACAGUAUUUUUUGGAAGAUGCGUCAGCUUGAGACAACGUGCACUCAGGCACAGAGAAAUGUGAUUAUUGGUUGCCUGAUUGCUUUUGCCCUCCUUUACUUCCUUGUUACUUAUGUCCACACCCAGGAAUUUUUUGCAAAAAUGGCCAGUUAAGGGAUUUUAUGAUAUUACUGCAUUUCUGAACGUGGCCUGUCUCUUACAAUUUGUAGGCAGGAAGGGAUGGGUUUACUGGCAUAGUUUUUCUAGCUUUCAUUUUCACUCUGAUGUUAACAUUAUGAAAUUUUCCACUUUGCCCCAUCAUUGUUUGCCUAGACUGGGAGGUGGCAAAUGAAACCUUACACUUUUAACCCUAAAACUGCUUUUUAAUACACCUUAAAUGUGCAUAAAGUAAGAAGUGUCUAAACAGUAGAUUUGGGAUCCUGCUUGUGUGAAGUGUCUAGACCUGAGUCUGUGAUUCCAGUUUUAAUAGAAAGUUCUUAUCCUCACUUUAUAAUGUACAUUUCAAAAUAACAAAGAAGCUAGUGAAAAAGAUGCUACAGCUAAUGAAGCUAGUGCUGCAAGGAAGCUCCCAAUGAAAACAGUGCAUCUAUUGAGACUGCAAAGCACGGAGGCAGAAAAGAAUUGGUGAGGAGCUCUGUUGCAUAGAUCUUCAUGUUAAGACUGUCUGAAAAUUGGCUGCUGUGGACCUUUUUUUUUUUUUUUGUGGUUGAGGGUGAGAUGUCAUAAAGAAUGUGUUUUAAGAAUGGCUCUUACAUUUUUUCACCUUCUAAAUUAAAUGCAGCAAAUCAAUCAGUUUGAAGUCUUAUAUUUUGAUAAAAAAUAAGCUCUUCUUCCAUGUCUCCACUAGGCAGUUGAAGAAGAGUGUGAGGAAGUAGAAAUUUCUAGCCCAUGUUAUUUUGUAAUUCUCUGUGUGGG
ensembl:lncRNA